rnacentral:rRNA from 1 species
AGUGAACGCUGGCGGUAGGCCUAACACAUGCAAGUCGAACGGCAGCACAGUAAGAGCUUGCCCUUACGGGUGGCGAGUGGCGGACGGGUGAGGCAUACAUCGGAAUCUAAUUUUUCGGGGGGGAUAACGUAGGGAAACUUACGCUAAUACCGCAUACGACCUACGGGUGAAAGCAGGGGAUCUUCGGACCUUGCGCGAUAGAAUGAGCCGAGGUCGGAUUAGCUAGUUGGCGGGGUAAAGGCCCACCAAGGCGACGAUCCGUAGCUGGUCUGAGAGGAUGAUCAGCCACACUGGAACUGAGACACGGUCCAGACUCCUACGGGAGGCAGCAGUGGGGAAUAUUGGACAAUGGGCGCAAGCCUGAUCCAGCCAUACCGCGUGGGUGAAGAAGGCCUUCGGGUUGUAAAGCCCUUUUGUUGGGAAAGAAAAGCAGCAGGUCAAUACCCCGCUGUUCUGACGGUACCCAAAGAAUAAGCACCGGCUAACUUCGUG